UACGUAGGGGGCAAGCGUUGUCCGGAAUCAUUGGGCGUAAAGAGCGUGUAGGCGGCCAGAUAAGUCCGCUGUGAAAUCUCGAGGCUCAACUUCGAGCUGUCGGUGGAAACUGUCUGGCUAGAGUCCGGAAGAGGCGAGUGGAAUUCCUGGUGUAGCGGUGAAAUGCGCAGAUAUCAGGAGGAACACCAAUGGCGAAGGCAGCUCGCUGGGACGGUACUGACGCUGAGGCGCGAAAGCGUGGGGAGCGAACAGG
rnacentral:rRNA from 1 species